rnacentral:rRNA from 1 species
AUUGAACGCUGGCGGCAGGCCUAACACAUGCAAGUCGAACGAGUGGCGGACGGGUGAGUAAUGUCUGGGAAACUGCCCGAUGGAGGGGGAUAACUACUGGAAACGGUAGCUAAUACCGCCUACCAUCGGAUGUGCCCAGAUGGGAUGAGCUAGUGGGUGGGGUAACGGCUCACCUAGGCGACGAUCCCUAGCUGGUCUGAGAGGAUGACCAGCCAAAUUGGAACUGAGACACGGCCCAGACGCCUACGGGAGGAAGCAGGGGGGAAUAUUGGAAAAGGGGCGCAAGCCUGAUGCAGCAAGGCCGGGUGUAUGAAGAAGGCUUCCGGGUUGUAAAGUACUUUCAGCGAGGAGGCGUUACUCGCAGAAGAAGCACCGGCUAACUCCGUGCCAGCCGCCGCGGUAAUUC